UACGUAGGUGGCAAGCGUUGUCCGGAUUUAUUGGGUUUAAAGGGUGCGUAGGCGGUUUUUUAAGUCAGUGGUGAAAUACUUCAGCUUAACUGGAGAGGUGCCAUUGAUACUGGGAAACUUGAGUACUGAUGAGGUAGGCGGAAUGGACGGUGUAGCGGUGAAAUGCUUAGAUAUCGUCCAGAACACCGAUAGCGAAGGCAGCUUACUAAGGAGUAACUGACGCUGAGGCACGAAAGUGUGGGGAUCAAACAGG
rnacentral:rRNA from 1 species